CUCUCUCUGAACGCGGAAUCAAAUUUUGGGUUUCUUCCCAUGGAUGAUCUCCGCCAUUCGAGAGAUUGAGUUGCUCAAGUCGGCGUGACUAUUCCGUUCAUGCAGUUUCGGUCGCAUCCUUUGACCUUCUUUUCCAUCAAUCUAAACUAAACCCCUUACAGAUUCAUCACAUUAAGCAUAUUUUUAACUCCUUCAGCCACGAUCUAUACUUCAAUGUGAGGUUAUCUUCUGCGAGGCGGUUUCUCUGCGUGUAUAAAAAGGCAACCAUUAUGCAAGCCGGCUUCCAACCUUCAGGCCACGUCUCACGGUGUUAAGACAAAACACAAAGCACAUUCGUUUUGUACUCUUGCGAGAACCUUAGAACCAUAUCUUCCACGAAUGGGGACUACUCAGCUCCACUUUUCCGAAUUAAAGGCUGGUCGUUGCAAGGUAACCGUCAUGACACGUCUCCUUCGUUUUUGGGAGGCGAGGAAUGUGAAAAGGCCUUGAAGAGCGCGGCUUCAACCGAGCAAAAAUUUUAAGUACACCAGCGGUUCUUAACUCUAUCAGCCUUAACUCUCUCUGAGGUUGGUCUAAGUAUUGGGAGUUUGAAAAUAGUAUAAAGGAGAAACAAGAGAGGAUAUUUGUUUCUAUGGGAGGUUAUAGAUAAUGAUGCAUAACAGUUUGAGUU